AUGGGACGGGACCGGAGGAGCCGCCGCGUGGCUGUGACGGGGUUGGUGGCUGCUGGAGGAGGAGAGAUGCUCUGGGAAAUGGACUGCUCAGGCCUCCAGGGCCUCGGUGAUGUCUGGAAGAUGGCUAUGGAGGACUUUUUCCCCCAUCUUGUGGACCUAAGGAUUUUGAUAUUGAUUUAUGGACUUAGGUUUCAUGGCUUCAGAGGGGCGUCGAGUUGCAGCGGGGCGGCAGCGCCGGAGAGGGGCCCCCGGGGCCGCUCCCCCUCCUCCCACCGCAGGAUGCUCCGGGAGGUCCCGCAGCGCCCCGGUCCCCCCGAGCCGCGGCGUGUCCCGGGCCAGCCCUACCCUGUCCUGUACAUAACCAGUGAGAUGUCUGUAAAAGAUUUCAACCCUUGGAAUUUUUUUUUUUUUUUUUCCUCCCCUCUCC
rnacentral:lncRNA from 13 species